AGCUUUACACAGUGGCAGUAUCAUAGCCUAUGAAGGUCUAUUGAGGUGUGAUCAUUGCUAAUUGAACUGCGAGCUAUGUAAAAGACCCUAAGUUUUAAUAUGUUUUAUUUUCUUAGGAAUUUGAUGUAAAGUCAGAUUU